rnacentral:lncRNA from 10 species
GGGCUUUUGACCGCAUCACUCCUGAGGGGAUGAGAGUGGGCUGAAAGUGGUGAGAGCCCAGAGAUUGUUUUGUGUUGGGCUUGGGUGGUUUGUUUUGAUUUUAAAGUGCUGUGGCCUGGUUAGGGGAGAACGCAUCCUCCUUGGUUAUGCAUGAGCCAGAACCAGCCUCAGCUCGGACAAUUCCACUGGAAGUUUGUGUGUGAGUUGUGAUCCUGAGAGACGGAAGACUGCAUUUGAUUUGCAAGUUUGGAUACAGACUGAAAAUGACUAAGGAGCUUGAUGAGUCCAGAGCAGAACAAGGCUGGAGUGCAAUGGCACCAUCUCGGCUCACCACAACCUCUGCCUCCCAGGUUCAAGUGAUUCUCCUGCCUCAGCCUCCCGAGUAGCUGGGAUUACAGGCUGGUCUUGAACUCCUGGAACCAAGGGAUCCUCCUGCCUCGACUUCCCAAAGUGCUGGGAUUAUAGGCAUGCACCACUGUGCCCAGCCUGCUUUUUGGUUUUAUAAGGAAUGGCUACUGUUUCAUGAUAGGUGUUACUUGUUGAGCUUGUUAAAAUAAAAAAUUAUGCUUA